rnacentral:tRNA from 1 species
GGGCAUUUAGCUCAGUUGGUUCAGAGUAUCUGCCUUACAAGCAGAGGGUCGACGGUUCGAAUCCGCCAAUGCCCA